GGUCCUGGUGGCCCAGGAGGUCCCGAGAAUCCUGGUGAUCCUGAUGACCCUGGUGAUCCUGGUGGCGCAGGUGAUCCUGGAGGCCCUGGUGUCGCAGGAGAGGCAGAUGCUGCAGUUGGUGUCCUUCCACACUCGCCAGGGCCUGGUGGAGAUGCUGCGCCAGCCGCUGGAGGUCCAGAUGAUUAACUGCUGAAGAUCCUGGCCAACUCCAAACUUCCAUUUCCUUCUGUCUUGACUGGCUUUCCCUGGUGGUGCGGAUCCUGCAGCUCUUCGUGCCCCCAGUUUUCACUAAGCCUCAGCAGGGAGAAUAGGACUAAGCUUUACCUUGAGCACCAUUUUAGGCAGUAAAUCCUUCCCUUGGCUGAUGAUUCCUACAGUAAAUACUGUAGGAUAUCCUACUUUGCUUUGGGGGAGCCUAAUUUUUUUUUUUUUUUUAUAAUUUGGCUCCUAGGCUUUAGGAUCUAUUUGUUUUGUUUCGUAAUCAAAUGUUUGUUACUCCAGAAAAUAAAUCUGAGAUGCUA